rnacentral:rRNA from 1 species
GACGAACGCUGGCGGCGUGCCUAAUACAUGCAAGUCGAACGCAGUGGGGACGGGUGAGUAACACGUGGGUAACCUCCCAUCAGAGGGGAUACCACUUGGAAACAGGUAUUAAACCGAUAGUGAUGGAUGGACCCGCGGUGCAUUACCUAGUUGGUGAGGUAACGGUUCACAAAGGCCACGAUGCAUCGCCGACCUGAGAGGGUGAUCGGCCACACUGGAACUGAGACACGGCCCAGACUCCUACGGGAGGCAGCAGUAGGGAAUCUUCGGCAAUGGACGAAAGUCUGACCGAGCAACGCCGCGUGAGUGAAGAAGGUUUUCGGAUCGUAAAACUCUGUUGUUAGAGAAGCGGUAUCUAACCAGAAAGCAACGGCUAACUACGUGCCAGCAGCCGCGGUAAUAC